CACGUCAGCAAUCGGAACCGAGACAACUCUCUUCUCCAUGUUCCUCCUACUACACACAACCAUCACAUUUUCAGACCAUUGUUUUGAGAAAAAACAUUAACAAUUCGUAAGAACAUGGAGCAAAACCUCUUCUUGGGAGUUGGUUUUGAGAUCUUGGAGUCUUCGCAAGAAGAAGGAGAUUCAGGAACGACGUCGUUUUGAUGGAGAUGAUUAGGAAGGUGAUUAGCGAGAGGGUUUUAAUAAACGAGAUGUGGUUAUUAUUCUCGACUUGUUUUUUGGGACGUGCAGGCAAAUAUCAAAGGUGUUAUACUAUUAUUAUAUUCGGUAUUUGUAUUUUAUUUGAAUAGAAUAUGACCAGUUGUAUUCUAGUCAUUUGUUUAUUUCUUUUGAAAGGUUCU